rnacentral:sRNA from 1 species
UGAGAAGGAUGAUGAUGACAGAAACGCAUUCAGAAAAUGGUUCAGCUACAUUGGGGAACUUCGUUCCAUUUUCCCAUCUGCAUCAGUUCUGGCACUAAGUGCAACCUGCACCCAUUAACUUUGCAGAAGAGUCCGCAAAGUCCUAAAUUUGAAGGAUGAUGCAACCGAGAUCCGACUGUCACCAGACAAACCAAACAUAAAACUGGUUGUGAAAAAAAUUCCAAAUUCUGUUGACCUAGGAAUGGCCUGGAUCAUCGAUCAGUUAGACUCUUUUCCGAGAACUAUCAUAUAUUGUAACAGCAGCGUUUCCUUCUGUGAGAUGUUUCAUUCUGAGACACCAGAUGCAAAGAAGGAAAAACUACUGGAUGACCUUUGCAACGAACAUGGAUCAUUGAGAAUCGUUAUUGCAACCAGUGCCCUUGGAAUGGGGAUAGAUAUAACUGGUACAGACAACGUAAUUCUAUAUGGUGCCCCGAAGCAGUUAGUGGAAGUAGUUCAGGAGAUUGGCCGUGCUGGUCGGGAUGGAAAUCCAGCUCUUGCGUUACCCCUUUACAAUUCAUAUCACCUAAGAAAAGUAGAGCAGGAGGUGAAGGAUGUUUACAAUUCACAAACUUGUAGAAGAAAAAUGUUGUUGAAACCUUUUGUGAAGGAAAGUGAACUUACAAUAAAAGAUCCCCACCACAUGUGUUGUGACAGAUGUAUGCUGUUGUGCAAAUGUGAUGACUGUCAUAAAGAUACAUUUCCUCUUGAAAAAAUGAUAAAAGAUGAACCAUCAGUCUUAGACAGUGACACAAACAGUGAUUCUACUGAACUAUAUGAUGAUGCUGAACUUUUAAUUGAAUCAGACACCGAGUUUGAUUAAGCAAUUAUGCAUGCCUUUGAAUUUGAUCAUUAUCUAAUAAAACUAGUUCAUGAAUGUAAAUGUUCACCUUCAUGUUGUCUGGAACAUCACAUUCAGUGAUAAUUUAAUAAAUUUGUACAAUCCUU